rnacentral:rRNA from 1 species
AUUGAACGCUGGCGGCAGGCCUAACACAUGCAAGUCGAGCGAGCGGCGGACGGGUGUGUAAUGUAUGGGGCCUGCCCGAUAGAGGGGGAUAACUACUGGAAACGGUGGCUAAUACCGCAUACUAUCGGAUAACCCAUAUGGGAUUAGCUAGUAGGUGGGGUAACGGCUCACCUAGGCGACGAUCCCUAGCUGGUCUGAGAGGAUGACCAGCCAAACAGGAACUAGGACACGGUCCAGACUCCUACGGCGGCAGCAGUGGGGAAUAUUACACUAUCGGCGCAGGCCUGAAGCAUCCAUGCCACGUGAAUGGAGAAGACCUUCGGGUUGUAAAGUACUUUCAGCGAGGAGGCGUUACGCGCAGAAGAAGCACCGGCUAACUCCGUGCCAGCAGCCGCGGUAAUAC